rnacentral:rRNA from 1 species
AUAUCAAUAAGCGGAGGAAAAGAAACCAACAGGGAUUGCCCUAGUAACGGCGAGUGAAGCGGCAACAGCUCAAAUUUGAAAUCUGGCCCUUGGGUCCGAAUUGUAAUUUGUAGAGGAUGCUUUUGGUGCGGUGCCUUCCGAGUUCCCUGGAACGGGACGCCAUAGAGGGUGAGAGCCCCGUCUGGUUGGACACCAAUCCUCUGUAAAGCUCCUUCGACGAGUCGAGUAGUUUGGGAAUGCUGCUCUAAAUGGGAGGUAUAUGUCUUCUAAAGCUAAAUACCGGCCAGAGACCGAUAGCGCACAAGUAGAGUGAUCGAAAGAUGAAAAGCACUUUGAAAAGAGGGUUAAAUAGUACGUGAAAUUGUUGAAAGGGAAGCGCUUGUGACCAGACUUGAGCCCGGUUAAUCAUCCAGCCUUCUGGCUGGUGCACUUGGCCGGCUCAGGCCAGCAUCAGUUCGGCGCGGGGGAUAAAGACUUCGGGAAUGUGGCUCCUCCGGGAGUGUUAUAGCCCGUUGUGUAAUACCCUGUACUGGACUGAGGUUCGCGCAUCUGCAAGGAUGCUGGCGUAAUGGUCAUCAGCGACCCGUCUUGAAACACGGACCAAGGAGUCGUCUUCGUAUGCGAGUGUUCGGGUGUCAAACCCCUACGCGUAAUGAAAGUGAACGCAGGUGAGAGCUUCGGCGCAUCAUCGACCGAUCCUGAUGUUCUCGGAUGGAUUUGAGUAAGAGCAUACGGAGCCGGACCCGAAAGAAGGUGAACUAUGCCUGUAUAGGGUGAAGCCAGAGGAAACUCUGGUGGAGGCUCGCAGCGGUUCUGACGUGCAAAUCGAUCGUCAAAUAUGGGCAUGGGGGCGAAAGACUAAUCGAACCUUCUAGUAGCUGGUUUCCGC